rnacentral:rRNA from 1 species
UACAGAGGGUGCGAGCGUUAAUCGGAUUUACUGGGCGUAAAGGGCGCGUAGGUGGUUAUUUAAGUGAGAUGUGAAAUCCCCGGGCUUAACCUGGGAACUGCAUCUUAUACUGGGUAACUGGAGUGCAAUAGAGGGUAGUGGAAUUUCCGGUGUAGCGGUGAAAUGCGUAGAUAUCGGAAGGAACACCAGUGGCGAAGGCGGCUACCUGGAUUGACACUGACACUGAGGCGCGAGAGCGUGGGGAGCAAACAGG